UACGUAGGCAGCGAGCGUUGUUCGGAGUUACUGGGCGUAAAGAGUGCGUAGGCGGUUUUCUAAGUUUGGUGUGAAAUCUCCCGGCUUAACUGGGAGGGUGCGCCGAAGACUGGAAGGCUUGAGUAUGGGAGAGGUAAGCGGAAUUCCUGGUGUAGCGGUGAAAUGCGUAGAGAUCGGGAGGGAUACCUGUGGCGAAGGCGGCCUACUGGGCCGGACCUGACGCUGAGACGCGAAGGCGUGGGGAGCGAACGGG
rnacentral:rRNA from 1 species